rnacentral:rRNA from 1 species
AACGAACGUUAGCGAGAUGUUUUAAGCAUGCAAGUCGAGCGGCAGCACUUCGGGAGGGAGCGGCGGACGGGUUAGUAACGCGUGGGAACAUACCCUUUUCUACGGAAUAGCCUCUGGAAACGGAGAGUAAUACCGUAUACGCCCUUCGGGGGAAAGAUUUAUCGGUUAAGGAUUGGCCCGCGUUAGAUUAGAUAGUUGGUGGGGUAACGGCCUACCAAGUCGACGAUCUAUAGCUGGUUUGAGAGGAUGAUCAGCAACACUGGGACUGAGACACGGCCCAG